UACGGGGGGGGCAAGCGUUGUUCGGAAUUACUGGGCGUAAAGAGCGCGCAGGCGGUCGUUCAAGUCGAGUGUGAAAGCCCCCGGCUCAACUGGGGAGGGUCAUUCGAUACUGAUCGACUCGAAGGCAGGAGAGGGAAGUGGAAUUCCCGGUGUAGUGGUGAAAUGCGUAGAUAUCGGGAGGAACACCAGUGGCGAAGGCGGCUUUCUGGUCUGCUCUUGACGCUGAGGCGCGAAAGCUAGGGUAGCAAACGGG
rnacentral:rRNA from 1 species